rnacentral:rRNA from 1 species
UGCCAGCAGCCGCGGUAAUACGGAGGGUGCAAGCGUUGUCCGGAAUCACUGGGUGUAAAGGGUGUGUAGGCGGGGUUGUAAGUCAGAGGUGAAAUCCUACGGCUUAACCGUAGAACUGCCUUUGAUACUGCAACUCUUGAGUCUCGGAGAGGUCACUGGAAUUCGUGGUGUAGCGGUGAAAUGCGUAGAUAUCACGAGGAACACCAGAUGCGUAGGCGGGUGACUGGACGAGUACUGACGCUAAGGCACGAAAGCGUGGGGAGCAAACAGGAUUAGAUA